rnacentral:hammerhead_ribozyme from 1 species
AUCCAGAUGGAGAGUCCCAAAUGGGACGAAAUACGCGUUAUCCUGGAU